GAUGAACGCUGGCGGCGUGCCUAAUACAUGCAAGUCGAGCGAAAAGACGAGGAGCUUGCGCCUUUGCCGUUAGCGGCGGACGGGUGAGUAACACGUGGGUAAGCUACUUAUAUGACUGGGAUGACUUCGGGAAAAAGGAGCUACUACUGGCUAAUAUUACGAACCGCAUGGUUCGAUAGUGAAAGAUGGCUUUGCUAUCACUUAUAGAUGGACCUGCGCCGUAUUAGCUAGUUGGUAAGGUAACGGCCUACCAAGGCAACGAUCCGUAGCCGACCUGAGAGGGUGAUCGGCCACACUGGAACUGAGACACGGUCCAGACUCCUACGGGAGGCAGCAGUAGGGAAUCUUCCACAAUGGGCGAAAGCCUGACGGAGCAAUGCCGCGUGGGUGAUGAAGGCCUUCGGGUCGUAAAGCUCUUUUAUUGGGGAAGAACAAACGCGGAAGUAACUGUGCACGUCUUGACGGUACCUAAUCAGAAAGCCACGGCUAACUACGUG
rnacentral:rRNA from 1 species